UGAAUCGAUGGGAGCAUUGAGGCAUCAAAUUAUGGAGCACCGUGCUUCUACAACCAGUCAACCUGAGUUCAGCGCUGGGAAUCGACGGAUCGCUGAUGCUGCUGCACAAGAACAGGCAUCGAUUUGAACAAGGAUGCAUCGCUCGUGCUUAUUGGGGAUAGGAUGCGAUGCAGGCUUCUCUGUGAUUUCUUUUUCGUGGUGGAUGCAUCUUUCAUUCGAUUGGAAAGUUGUGAUUAGAUCCUCUUUUCCACUGUGCGUGACUAUGCUUUUGUGAAUCGAAUUGAUUUCAUUUUGCAUGAUUCA